GCGGUGUGCCUAAUACAUGCAAGUCGUACGCACUGGCCCAACUGAUUGAUGGUGCUUGCACCUGAUUGACGAUGGAUCACCAGUGAGUGGCGGACGGGUGAGUAACACGUAGGUAACCUGCCCCGGAGCGGGGGAUAACAUUUGGAAACAGAUGCUAAUACCGCAUAACAACAAAAGCCACAUGGCUUUUGCUUGAAAGAUGGCUUUGGCUAUCACUCUGGGAUGGACCUGCGGUGCAUUAGCUAGUUGGUAAGGUAACGGCUUACCAAGGCGAUGAUGCAUAGCCGAGUUGAGAGACUGAUCGGCCACAAUGGAACUGAGACACGGUCCAUACUCCUACGGGAGGCAGCAGUAGGGAAUCUUCCACAAUGGGCGCAAGCCUGAUGGAGCAACACCGCGUGAGUGAAGAAGGGUUUCGGCUCGUAAAGCUCUGUUGUUGGAGAAGAACGUGCGUGAGAGUAACUGUUCACGCAGUGACGGUAUCCAACCAGAAAGUCACGGCUAACUACGUGCCAGCAGCCGCGGUAAUACGUAGGUGGCAAGCGUUAUCCGGAUUUAUUGGGCGUAAAGCGAGCGCAGGCGGUUGCUUAGGUCUGAUGUGAAAGCCUUCGGCUUAACCGAAGAAGUGCAUCGGAAACCGGGCGACUUGAGUGCAGAAGAGGACAGUGGAACUCCAUGUGUAGCGGUGGAAUGCGUAGAUAUAUGGAAGAACACCAGUGGCGAAGGCGGCUGUCUGGUCUGCAACUGACGCUGAGGCUCGAAAGCAUGGGUAGCGAACAGGAUUAGAUACCCUGGUAGUCCAUGCCGUAAACGAUGAGUGCUAGGUGUUGGAGGGUUUCCGCCCUUCAGUGCCGGAGCUAACGCAUUAAGCACUCCGCCUGGGGAGUACGACCGCAAGGUUGAAACUCAAAGGAAUUGACGGGGGCCCGCACAAGCGGUGGAGCAUGUGGUUUAAUUCGAAGCUACGCGAAGAACCUUACCAGGUCUUGACAUCUUGCGCUAACCUUAGAGAUAAGGCGUUCCCUUCGGGGACGCAAUGACAGGUGGUGCAUGGUCGUCGUCAGCUCGUGUCGUGAGAUGUUGGGUUAAGUCCCGCAACGAGCGCAACCCUUGUUACUAGUUGCCAGCAUUAAGUUGGGCACUCUAGUGAGACUGCCGGUGACAAACCGGAGGAAGGUGGGGACGACGUCAGAUCAUCAUGCCCCUUAUGACCUGGGCUACACACGUGCUACAAUGGACGGUACAACGAGUCGCAAGCUCGCGAGAGUAAGCUAAUCUCUUAAAGCCGUUCUCAGUUCGGACUGUAGGCUGCAACUCGCCUACACGAAGUCGGAAUCGCUAGUAAUCGCGGAUCAGCAUGCCGCGGUGAAUACGUUCCCGGGCCUUGUACACACCGCCCGUCACACCAUGGGAGUUUGUAACGCCCAAAGUGCGGUGGCCUAACCUUUAUGGAGGGAGCCGCCUAAGGCGGGACAGAUGACU
rnacentral:rRNA from 2 species